AUGCUUCGAUAUUGUGCCCUGCAUCUUAUUUACCCAGAAUCCAUAUACAUGUUCAAUAAAUUCUUUGGGUGGAAUAUCUGCAUAUUUGGUGUAGCUCUCCUUUCCUGCCAUUAUUUGCAAGAUUAUAAUGCCCAUACUGAAUACAUCAAAUUUUGGUGUGAUUUGCCGUUUGCUGAUGUAUUCUGGUGGCAUGUAUACCUUGUUUGCGCAACUUCUGAUGUAUUGAAGGUUUCUGUUGUAUCAAAGAGUCUAGAGAAGCCAAAACCUCCAAUUUUGGGUAUCAUGUCGUUAUCCAGCAAAAUCUUGUUAGGUUUUAAUUCCAGAUGGUAA
rnacentral:rRNA from 1 species